GGCCCUGCCGGUGUCGCCAGACCCGCCAACCCUGUUGUGGUUCAGCGCCGGCGGUGGGGGAGGUUCGACGUCGUCCGCGGCGAAUCGGCUGGGGAUGAUGCCGGUGUCCUUGCCGACGAAACCCAGAUUCCUCCCCUGCGACUCGGCGGCGCCGCCGAGCGCCGCCGUCGCGCGGGCGGGGCCAUGAGCGUCGCCCAAGCUGGGGACGAGCCCAGCCAGCCGGCCGGCGGGAUUCAUGCUCAGAGCUGAGCCUCUCCAGCCGUCGCAGGGCGACGAACCGGCGGCGGACAUAGCUGCAGGAGGAACCGGGCUGCCAUGGAAGUACCCGCUCUGCAUGACAGCGGUCUUCAGGUCUCCCUCCGCCACCACCUGCCCGACGCCCACCGGCAAGGCAUUCGACUGGGGGAGAAGCAUGUGAUCCAUGGCGGGGCCGCCGUAGCCGGGAUGGGUCUGGUUGAUGGUCGCGGCCCCGCCUCCCGCCUGAAGCCCCUUCGACAUCUGGGAGCGGAGCAGCACUGCAGCAUUCUGACCGAUGGAGAAGGGGUUGUUCCCG
rnacentral:lncRNA from 1 species